rnacentral:rRNA from 1 species
AAAGACUUGACGGUACUUCACAACAACCUAGAGGAGCCUGUCCAAUAACCGAUACCCCACGAUUAACCCGACCUACCCUAGCCUAGCAGUCUAUAUACCGCCGUCGCCAGCUUACCUUGUGAAAGAAAUAAAGUAAGUAAAAUAAGCCACCCCUAACACGACAGGUCAAGGUGUAACUAAUGAGUAGGUAAAAGAUGGGCUACAUUUUCUACUACAGAAUAACACGAAUAAAUUAUGAAACUAAAAACUGAAGGCGGAUUUAGCAGUAUGCUAAGAACAAAAUACUUAACUGAAAUCAACGCAAUGAAGUGCGUACACACCGCCCGUCAUCCCUG